GAUAACGUCAAAAGUCGAUGUCCAUCUGGAGGUGCUAAUUCGUAAGUUUUUCGGCGACGAAGCCCAUCCGGUCCACGAUGCCAGAAAGAGUGGUUAAUUAGAUGUAUACAUGUACCGGAUUUCGAUGCGAAUAAAGCCCGGUAAGUGCCAUUGCUGCAAUGGAACCGGAACAUAAACGAUGCUUACACACCAGCGUUUUACCUGUCGGUAUUGGCGGUAUUGGCACGGUACGUGAAUGCAUAUCGAUUAUCGGUGCCAGGUGACCAGUGGUCAAGAAUAGACGGUACAGCAAAAGAGAGCAAGCGUACCAGUUCCUGGUUCCUACAGAUGUUGAGGAUGGACGAACGAAACAAAUCAGCGUGGGAAGCAAGGAACUGUUCAUUACAUUCAGGUGUAACGGAACUGGCGUUCUAACCAAAUUCUCAUCCGUGUCAGCAGUUUUAUCCACAACUACAUACCUAGCAAAAACUCGGCAAAAAUUGAAGGACGAAAAUAUUUUACCGUACACGAAUAAUACAUAUCUGCGGGUUUAUGGCACUGAAUAUCGGCCGAAGAGCAGAAACUGGUAACGGUGGAAACUGGUUGUAGAAAGAUAUAUACACUCAGUGCUUAAUGUAACAGCAAUUAGUCGAGUUGUGAAGGAUUUAAUUUAUUAUUCGGCAGAAUAUAGCAAAUGAUGAAUUUAAAUAUGUAAAACUAAAAAUAAAUUCUGAUAGAAUUAAAACUUAAAUAAAUGUUAAGUAUCAAUUGAAUAAAAAUGUAUUCGAACAAGACUCAAGUAAGAUUAGCACUAAAUUUAAAUUUCAUAGAAAUCAUAGGUUAUAUUUAUUUGAAAUAAAAAUAAACUAAAUUCCAAUUUAAUAAGUUAAACAAAGACUAAAACUUGAAAUGGAUUAUAAUUUAAAUGAAACUAAAUAGAAAUUUACUAACAAUCAAAUUGAAAUUGUAUCUGCAUUAAAAUGAAAAUAAUACAUUGAAUGGAACAUACAUUUAAAUCUAAUGAUAAUUGCACCAAAGUUAAAUCUAAACUAAAUUGAAAUUAUUAUGCUUUCAAAAUAAAUCUAGAAAAAGUUAGGCUAUAUUAAAACGGGAGGUAAAUAAAUAAAUUGUGAAUUAUUAAAAUCUGAAUUGAGAUUAGAAAAUAUUUUAUAUCCAUUGAAAUUAAAAAUAAUGAAAUGUUAAUUUUAUCAAAAUUAAAUAAAAUUGAAUUAUAGUCAGAUGAGAAACAGACAAUUCUUGGUAAGUUGUUAACACAGUGAUCAAGAAAAUAUUUAUUAAUAUGAAAUAAUUUGCUUCCAUAAGUACCGCGUCAUAUAUGUUCAAUAGUACAACGUCUGGGGGUUCACUGUAAAAUGUAUUGAAUUCAUAUUAAAAUUGUUCUCAAAUCAAGUCAAACUAAUUUUAAUUCACAUGAAUUAAAAAAUUACUAGAUAAAAUGGAGUUAAAACAAAACCAAAUUUAAAUAGAACUUUUAUUGAAUUGAAUUUAAAUAAAAUCGAAGGUAAAAUACAAAA